UUAAUAAUGUGGAUUUUUUUCAAGAGAUGGAGUUACACAUAUGUUGAUAUAUAUGUGAUUUGAUGUGUAUGCCAUUUUGUUGUACCUUGCUCCUUCAGAUUACCACUUGUUCCAAUCAAUGGCACAUGCCCUUUCUGAGCAGCACUUCAAUAUGUACAAAGAGUGGAAAAUUGGGUCACUGAAUGGUUUGCCUCAAAAGAAGAAAAGUUCUAUUGAGAUGAUAUCCACAAAUUAACCUGAAAGAUGGGGGAAAUGUGUAGCUAGAGAAGGACAUUACUUUGAAUAGAGCACUUUUGAUGUUU